rnacentral:lncRNA from 1 species
UUGGCAAACAAUCAAAGUUCCAUAAAUGAUUACAACUAAGCAAUGUAUUUCUCUAAAGGACUUGUAAAAAUCAGUUAGUUUUAUUUAAGGAUCAGUCCUAGUCUGCAUUAAGUUAUUCCUGGCCCAUUUUAAAGACAAGUUUGAAAAAGACUUUUAAAUUUUAUGAAUUUGUAGAUUCCAUAAACUCCACUGAUUAAUCAGUGUGAAAGAAUUUUACUGUUUUAAUCCAUUUCUCACUGUUGAAUUUUAUUCAGAUUGAAAUUUCCUUUUCAGAGUCUCUGAAUGUACGCCUGGAAAGGCCAUGUGAGCAUUGCCAGGUACCACUCAUUGCUCUCCAGUGGCUUCUUGACUUAUAUUCUGACAUUUCUAAUAUCAAGCCCUUGGUAACAUAAUACCAAGUUAUGACUGUUUUUAAAGAUCACAGUGUUCUCAAAGGGACCAAGGCUGUCUGAAUAUGUAACUCAGAAUUUGAAAAGAAUUCAGUUACUAGUUCUUUUCUUCACUUUUAAACAGCCAGUUUGACUGGAAUUAACCACCUUGGCACAGCCUAAAAACAAGUAAUGUGAAAUGAAAUUUUCUUUGAAAGUCUUCUGAAAUAAGAGACCAUGUCAGUGGGACCCAAAGAUAACCGAGGUACUUUUACUUGCUUCCAAGGGCCUCAUUCUUCCGCUGUUACUUAUGAGUACUUUGAUUUUUACUACCUGAUCUGCUUUCUCUCCCUUUUCCAAACUUGAAAAAUACAUGGCAGCUCACUUUACCCUAACGCCGUGAAAACCCCAAGAAAGCAAGCAAAGGAUGAUCCGGAGGAACUCUUGCCAUAAAUGCCGACUUGGUUCUUAGUUUAGCCAUUUCCAUCAUUUGAAAUUAUGGUGGCGUGUCGCUUGUUUUGUUGUCAUCGUUUGUUCUUUGUUUAGCUUUGUUUUUUAAUAUUCAUUUAAUAUGAUAAUAGGCAAUAGCAACAUUUUUUUACUCCCAGGAAUAUAAUUUAUCAAAUUGAACUAUUUUCUUUGCCAAAGAAGUAUGUUUAUAAUAUCACGGGUAAUGAUUUAAGUGUCAAAACAAGGCUUUGCUUAUUGUACAAAAAAAAAAAAAGGGUGAUGAAUGAUGUAGCUUUUGUUUCUGUUUCUGAAGCCUAAUUUCAUUCAUUUUUCAGAAAGGCUUAUUCAUGCCAGGUUUUAGAAGACAGAUGUCAUUUUUAAGUAAAAGCACCUUUAAUUUGUUCUAACGGUACAUCCUGUAAAGACAAAAAGCCUCAAAGCCUUUUAGGUGUCCUUACAGUAUGUGAAAACUACAGGACUCAUUCUAAAUUACCAGUCUCGAUUGAUACUAUCUGCUUCCAUUUUUAUUAACUUGGAAAUUAAUAUGUUGCUAGUAAAUAUUGGUUUUUACAGUGUCCAGUUUGAAAAUGUAAGUUAUCAAAACUUAAUGUAGUGAAUUUGUGUAACCAUGUUGUACUGUUGAGAAUG